AGCAGCCGCGGUAAUUCCAGCUCCAAUAGCGUAUAUUAAAGUUGUUGCAGUUAAAAAGCUCGUAGUUGAAUUUCGGGAUCAAUAUAUCGGUCGUGCCUUGGUACGUACUGGUAUCAUUGGUUUCUCCUUUCUGACGAACCAUGAUGUCAUUAAUUUGGUGUUAUGGGAAGUUAGGACUGUUACUUUGAAAAAAUUAGAGUGUUUAAAGCAGGCUUUAGCUUGAAUACAUUAGCAUGGAAUAAUGAAAUAGGACGUUCGAACCUAUUUUGUUGGUUUCUAGGAUCAACGUAAUGAUUAAUAGGGAUAGUUGGGGGCAUUAGUAUUCAAUUGUCAGGGGUGAAAUUCUUGGAUUUAUUGAAGACUAACUACUGCGAAAGCAUUUGCCAAGGAUGUUUUCAUUAAUCAAGAACGAAAGUUAGGGGAUCGAAGACGAUCAGAUACCGUCGUAGUCUUAACCAUAAACUAUGCCGACUAGGGAUCGGAUGAUGUUAAUUUUUUAAUGACUCAUUCGGCGCCUUAC
rnacentral:misc_RNA from 1 species